rnacentral:lncRNA from 1 species
GCAUGAUGGAAUUCUGAAUGCUUUUUCGUUGUUAUUCCUGGAAGGACGUUCGUUUGGUAUCAGUUUAUUUGAUGUAUCAAUCUUUACAUAGUUGUUAUUAAGCUUAUACAUCAUUAUCAGUCUGCUCUGUUUUCUUCGUUCUUGUAGUGUAGUCCAUUCUAGUUGUUCAAGCAUGUCACUAACAGAUGAAGUGUUGUGGUAUCUGUUAGUAACAUACCUUGCUGCCCUCCUU